UAUGGUGACUAUUGCGAGGGUGUCCACCUCUUCCCAUUCCGAACAGAG
rnacentral:rRNA from 1 species